GAGCUAAUACGUGCAAAAAUGUGCAAUUCGCAAGAGUUGUGCUGCAUUUAUUGGUGCAAAAUCUGUCAUUGACUUUUUGCUUAAUCUGGAUAACCGACGUAUCGCAUGAUCUUGAAUCGGCGAAGAUUUUGACAAGUAUCUGGCUUAUCAACUGUCGUUGGUGCUGUAUUGGAGUACCAUGGUUGUAACGAGUAACGGAGAAUUAGGGUUUGACUCCGGAGAGGGAGCCUUAGAAACGGCUACCAUGUCUAAGGAUAGCAGCAGGCGCGAAAAUUACCCACUGUCAAAAGGACGAGGUAGUGACGGAAAAUAACAAGAUCGUUCUCUAUGAGAUCGGUCAUUGGAAUGAGAAAAAUCCAGAAAUUUUAACGAGUAUCUACGAGAGGGCAAGUCUGGUGCCAGCAGCCGCGGUAAUUCCAGCUCUCGUAAGGUAUAGAAUUAUUGCUGUGGUUAAAAAGUUCGUAGUUGGAUGUUUAGAAAGUGGGGGUCCGCCGUUCUACGGUGUGAACUUUUCGCUUUUAGUUUGUGUGUUCUUGUGCGUUGUUAGCCUUUCGGGGUUGGCCAACGUGCGCCACACAAGAUUACUUUGAACGGCUCAAGUGCUCAACGCACGUCUUAUGACCGAAUACCGGUGCAUGGAAUAAUGGAAAAAGGUUUCGGCUGGGUUUUCACAGGUUUUGCUAGUUGAAACAAUGGUUAAAAGAAACAGCCGGGGGCAUUCGUAUCGUUACGCGAGAGGUGAAAUUCGUGGACCGUAGCGAGACGCUCAACAGCGAAGGCACUUGCCAAGAGUGUU
rnacentral:rRNA from 1 species